rnacentral:rRNA from 1 species
CGUGCAGGCGGUUUGGUAAGUUGGGCGUGAAAUCUCCCGGCUCAACUGGGUGAGGUCGUCCAAAACUACCAGACUAGAGAGCGAUAGAGGAAAAUGGAAUUCCCGGUGUAGUGGUGAAAUGCGUAGAUAUCGGGAGGAACACCAGUGGCGAAAGGCGAUUUUCUGGAUCGUUUCUGACGCUCAGACGCGAAAGCUAGGGUAGCAAACG